rnacentral:rRNA from 1 species
CUGGCGGCGUGCCUAAUACAUGCAAGUCGAACGAGUUCUGAUUAUUGAAAGGUGCUUGCAUCUUGAUUUAAUUUUGAACGAGUGGCGGACGGGUGAGUAACACGUGGGUAACCUGCCCUUAAGUGGGGGAUAACAUUUGGAAACAGAUGCUAAUACCGCAUAAAUCCAAGAACCGCAUGGUUCUUGGCUGAAAGAUGGCGUAAGCUAUCGCUUUUGGAUGGACCCGCGGCGUAUUAGCUAGUUGGUGAGGUAACGGCUCACCAAGGCAAUGAUACGUAGCCGAACUGAGAGGUUGAUCGGCCACAUUGGGACUGAGACACGGCCCAAACUCCUACGGGAGGCAGCAGUAGGGAAUCUUCCACAAUGGACGCAAGUCUGAUGGAGCAACGCCGCGUGAGUGAAGAAGGCUUUCGGGUCGUAAAACUCUGUUGUUGGAGAAGAAUGGUCGGCAGAGUAACUGUUGUCGGCGUGACGGUAUCCAACCAGAAAGCCACGGCUAACUACGUGCCAGCAGCCGCGGUAAUACGUAGGUGGCAAGCGUUAUCCGGAUUUAUUGGGCGUAAAGCGAGCGCAGGCGGUUUUUUAAGUCUGAUGUGAAAGCCCUCGGCUUAACCGAGGAAGUGCAUCGGAAACUGGGAAACUUGAGUGCAGAAGAGGACAGUGGAACUCCAUGUGUAGCGGUGAAAUGCGUAGAUAUAUGGAAGAACACCAGUGGCGAAGGCGGCUGUCUGGUCUGUAACUGACGCUGAGGCUCGAAAGCAUGGGUAGCGAACAGGAUUAGAUACCCUGGUAGUCCAUGCCGUAAACGAUGAAUGCUAGGUGUUGGAGGGUUUCCGCCCUUCAGUGCCGCAGCUAACGCAUUAAGCAUUCCGCCUGGGGAGUACGACCGCAAGGUUGAAACUCAAAGGAAUUGACGGGGGCCCGCACAAGCGGUGGAGCAUGUGGUUUAAUUCGAAGCAACGCGAAGAACCUUACCAGGUCUUGACAUCUUUUGAUCACCUGAGAGAUCAGGUUUCCCCUUCGGGGGCAAAAUGACAGGUGGUGCAUGGUUGUCGUCAGCUCGUGUCGUGAGAUGUUGGGUUAAGUCCCGCAACGAGCGCAACCCUUAUGACUAGUUGCCAGCAUUUAGUUGGGCACUCUAGUAAGACUGCCGGUGACAAACCGGAGGAAGGUGGGGAUGACGUCAAAUCAUCAUGCCCCUUAUGACCUGGGCUACACACGUGCUACAAUGGAUGGUACAACGAGUUGCGAGACCGCGAGGUCAAGCUAAUCUCUUAAAGCCAUUCUCAGUUCGGACUGUAGGCUGCAACUCGCCUACACGAAGUCGGAAUCGCUAGUAAUCGCGGAUCAGCACGCCGCGGUGAAUACGUUCCCGGGCCUUGUACACACCGCCCGUCACACCAUGAGAGUUUGUAACACCCGAAGCCGGUGGCGUAACCCUUUUAGGGAGCGAGCCGUCUAAGGUGGACAAAUGAUUAG